CAGUCGCCGCGGUAAUACGAAGGGGGCUAGCGUUGUUCGGAAUCACUGGGCGUAAAGGGUGCGUAGGCGGAUUCUUAAGUCAGGGGUGAAAUCCCGAGGCUCAACCUCGGAACUGCCUUUGAUACUGGGGAUCUUGAGUCCGGAAGAGGUGAGUGGAACUGCGAGUGUAGAGGUGAAAUUCGUAGAUAUUGGGAAGAACACCGGUGGCGAAGGCGGCAACCUGGUCCUUGACUGACGCUGAGGCGCGAAAGCGUGGGGAGCAAACAGGAUUAGAUACCCCUGUAGUCCCUGUCUCUUAUAC
rnacentral:rRNA from 1 species